AACGCACAUUGCGCCCGCCGGUAUUCCGGCGGGCAUGCCUGUUCGAGCGUCAUUUACACCCCUCAAGCUAGCUUGGUGUUGGGCCCUGCGCGAAGCAGGCCCUAAAAAGAGUGGCGAGCUCGCAGCACCCCGAGCGUAGUAAUCUCUUCGCUAAGGGCGUCGCGGCGGGCUUUGCCGUAAAACCCAACUUCAAGUUUGACCUCGAAUCAGGUAGGGAUACCCGCUGAACUUAA
rnacentral:misc_RNA from 1 species